GAAGCUUGUAAUAUCUUUUAAUAUAUCAGAACAACAAAAUAUUCCAAGAAAAAAUAGUUUCACUAUUCCUUUUUAUGUUAUGUUCUAUAUUUUAUAUACUUAAACUAUACUAGAAUCCUAUAUACAAAAACAACAGAAUUAUCAUCAUCUCUAGAGCUCUGGUGCAUUGUUUUAAGUGCCAACCUAGCCUUCUCUCCAGAACCCCAUCCAUUGGCUAUGACACUCAUGUUCCUCAACUUGUCCUUGAGGUCCACAUUUGAGCGCAGAUACAACACACUCCGCUAAACUCUGGAUCUUUAAGGAUCGUACGCCACUUACCUGCACCAUGCUUUUUGACACCAGCCUUAAGAGCAGCUUCUUCUUCUGAGGUCCAUUUCUGCUUGGGGGCACCCAUUGGUUACAACUCAAAUCUGCGCUCCAGCCUCCAUUUAAGCAGGAAAUUGAUUUCUGCUAUAUUUUCUUGGCCUGCUCUUGUUUAAAACCUCGUCCUGCAGAGAAAAUCACAUAAGUUGUAUAAAGGAAUUUGGAAACAAUGAGUCAUAAAAUUAUCAUUUUUCUUGCCAAUCAUAGCCAUUAGAUACAUCUAAUCUUUUAUCUUGCAUAUAGUUAAAGACAAAAAAUAAUAACAAAUAUAUUUAAUAACUCAUAAUUUAUAAAUUUGUUAAAAAAGAAGGUGAGACUGGAUCCAGAAGAACCUCCAAUUUAUAACCUGUAAAAUAUUCCAAAUAAUUACACACGAUUGAUUACUGAUGUUGAUUCGGUUUUCAAAAGAGUGAGCACGUUUUCUUUGCUAUUUACAGCUGUUAGAAUCAUAGGACAACCUACAUUUACUUGACUGAUUAGUACAUUGGACAAACAUAAAGGUUCAAGAAAAUAGAUUGUAACAUUAUCAAAGAAGAAUGAAUACUUGUAAUAUAUAGUUGUAUCAUCUACUUAAUUGGAUUAGUAUCUUGAUUGAUCACAUGUAAUUUUAUAAAGGGUUGGUAUAUAUAAAUUCUAAACUACCAUCAAUUGAUAAUACAAUUACAGAACACAAUCCGAAGAGUUUAACAGAAUGAAGCAUAUGUCAUAUAUAAUUACAGAACACAAUCCUAAUUAACACAUAAUAUGAGAGUCAAUAAAAUAGUGAUACCUGUACAAACCGAGAUGAUUAUGUUCCACUAAUAAUUCCACGUAGUUUUCAUCACGAAGAAGAUGCAAGCAGAAGAUGUGUUUGAAAUUCAAGUUGUUCUAGAUGUGCAAAUAUCAGGCUGAAAAUCAGGACGGAGAAAUUGGAGAGUAAUUAAACACUAUCCACAGUAACUGAAACCCGAUUUAUGACCCAGAUAGAAUACGGGUUUAAUCAAAUAAAACGCAACUCUAGUACAAAUUAGCAAAUGGGUUAGGACCAAGUCAAGAAUGGAUAACCCACAGUGAUAAAAGCCAAAAAUGGACAAAAAAAAUAACUGCAAGUUUUGGAAACAAAGGAUAAUUUUGGUCAAUUACCAAAUCCUUUGCUAGCAGAGACAAUUUUUGAUCUUGGAAAAUUUUGAAUUGCCUUUCUGAGUAACUCAACUGACAGGCUCCGGCCUCCAUUUAAGAUUUUCUUUAUUGAUGGUAAACCAAUGGGUUUACCAGAACCCAUUGGUUCCCCCACUUGUCCUUGAGGUCCACAUUUGAGCACAGAUACAACACACCGCUAAACUCUGGAUCUUUAAGGAUCGUACGCCAUUUACCUCCAACAUGCUUUUUAACACCAGCCUUAAGAGCAGCUUCUUCUUCUGAGGUCCAUUUCUGCUUGGGGGCA
rnacentral:lncRNA from 1 species